CCGUAGCCCAAGAGAUCGGGAUAACACCUGGAAACAGAUGCUAAUACCGGAUAACAACAGAUGAUGCCUAUCAACUGUUUAAAAGAUGGUUCUGCUAUCACUCUUGGAUGGACCUGCGGUGCAUUAGCUAGUUGGUAGGGUAACGGCCUACCAAGGCGAUGAUGCAUAGCCGAGUUGAGAGACUGAUCGGCCACAUUGGGACUGAGACACGGCCCAA
rnacentral:rRNA from 2 species